UACGAAGGGGACUAGCGUUGUUCGGAAUUACUGGGCGUAAAGCGCACGUAGGCGGAUUGCUAAGUCAGGGGUGAAAUCCCGGGGCUCAACCUCGGAACUGCCUUUGAUACUGAGGAUCUUGAGUUCGGGAGAGGUGAGUGGAACUGCGAGUGUAGAGGUGAAAUUCGUAGAUAUUCGCAAGAACACCAGUGGCGAAGGCGGCUCACUGGCCCGAUACUGACGCUGAGGCACGAAAGCGUGGGGAGCGAACAGG
rnacentral:rRNA from 1 species